GUAUGGCUAGAUGUGUCCGCUCGAUGCGUUCGUCCACGUUCGUAUCUACGUACGCAUGUGUAUGUGUCUUCAUAAAUACGUGCGUGGGUUGGAGCGCUAACGACAAGAUUAGGAUGCAGACGCAGACGCGCUCGUUUGUCCUUCUAUCUCUCUCUCUCUCUCUCUAUCUCUCUCUCUCUCUCUCUAUCUCUCUCUCUCUCUCUCUCUCUCUGUAUAUCUAUCUACUGUUUGUCUGUCUAUCUAUCUAUCUCUCUCCCUCUCUUUUUCUAUUUCUUUUACUCUCACUCUUUCCGAAUUAAAAGGAAGAUAAAAUGACGACUAUUGGUGAGAGAACUAGAUCGGCAAUUCGCGAGAUCCUUUGGCAAAGGAUAACUCGUAACCAUCGACGAGGACAUUCGCACGGAGAGGCGGCCAUGCGGUCCGUAAUUAUCCUCUCCUCCAAUUUGCAAACUUAUAUGUAAUUCAAAUCGGUGCAUGGCCGCCGGCUAAUGCAAUAAUAAUGACUUCGUGGAAAUUACUGCGCGCGCGCAGACUGUCGUAUAUAUAAUCCUUGCGAAAUACGUGACACGAACGCCCUAGGAAAUUCUCUUUCAACGUAACCCACCACCUGCAAAUCCUUUUCGAUUGCUCCUAUCGAACCAAUCGGGGAUUUAAUAUUAGUUAUUUGUUCCCCAAAAAAAAAGCAACUUGUUCAAUCCUCAUAACGUCUUUGUCGGUAUGAUUAGAAAACAUUCAGAGGAUCUCUCAUAUAAAAACCGGUAAUCGGUACUCUCUUCUCUUCAGCCACCUACGCGAUAUUUUCGUCUCUGAGAAAGAAAGAGAUGGAAAAAAAAAGAAAAAGAGAGAGAUAGAGAAAGAGAGAGAUAGAGAGAGAGAAGAGUCAAGCUCAUCGUCCAAGCUCGCGUCUCCUUUCAUUUCUUCCUGGAACUUAUCUCAUUCAACCGGCACAAACCUAUUUAUAGUCACGCUUGAGGAGAUGAUAGAGCAGUCGACUGAAUGAAAGCGUUACCUACUCCCGAAUGUCGUUUUUACGAUGAGCAAGGAACGUCGCAUUUCACAUGACAUUUGCCUCGAGAGAUUUGCUAAAUUCUCCCUUUUUUCUUCUCGGUAUUAUUUUGGUUCGGAAACCAUUGGACGAUUCUUAAGAGCCUUUUUUCUCCUCCAGUUCUAAUCGACAGAUUCGUCAUCGAAGAUUAAUUUUAAUCGCGACGGGUUAUCCCUGGCAUUACUCAGAGUCCACAGCGUGAACGUGGCAGAAUUCCAGUUCUUCCUUUUCUUCCGUUCCCUUCAUCUUCUCUUUCCUCCUUUUUCAUUCGCAUUUUCGUUCGAUCUUUUUGCUCGACACUUUAAUUGAUACUUUAACUGCUUCUCUCCUCCUUACUCGCUUCGCUCUUUUUCUAUCUUUCCGAGAAAGAAGAGCGAUGAAGGUGAGUGAUACUCCUCGUCAUUCCUUUCUGGCAAACGACUUUAUAAUUGGUCCAUUAUUAUCUUCCUCGUAUAUUUUAUACGUUGAUGAAUAUCAACGUUAAGCCAUUGUAUCUAUCUUGGCACGAUCGGCUCUUUGGUAAUUAUGAUGCAACGAGAUCGAAAUGAUCGACGAGCGACUAUAGCACUUUCGAACUUUACUCUUUCAAACGGGUAAUUACGUUGUUCUCUUUCCGAAUUUAUGUUUCCCGGAGUUGUGUAAAAAUCAUGCGUUUGAAAUCGAUAUGACGUUGUUUUCAAAUCAAGUGGACACUUACGUACUUACAGAGGCCCCCAUGACUUUCCUGGAAACAAAAUUUCCAAGCAGCAUUCCUUUCAAACGCGAGCUAGUUUACUCGCAUAUCUUAUUAUCUCAAACGAGUUCGUGAUUGCUGAUAGUGAAAUUGUUAUGGAUUAACGGAAAGGGUAGAUUUGUCGUUUGAAUUACAUCUGUCUCAUGUUUACGAAGUAAUUAUUCGUAGAGAAAUAAUAUUCUAAGUAAAAGUUGACAAGGUCUUAAACGUUCUACGUAACGUUAAGAUUUCCUUUCAAGUCGUGUAUGUCACCCGAUACCUUUGAUGAUUGAGAGUAAUGCGUUGUUCGCUAUCUCGCAUCGUUCUUUUAUUGUCAAUCGUGUCAUGGAUAUUCGAUGUUUUGUCUUGCGAUAGACACAACUAACUGAUAUUACAGUUGGUAUACUCUGGAUUAUGAUAGGCAUCGAUCGCGUUCGCAUUCUAAUGAUCGUUAACACCGAGAUAGGAUAACCAACUAACCACUUCGAAAUCUACUUAGACUCAGACAAUUCACGUUUAUUGAAACUUCGUCUAUUGAUCCUUCGAAUUCCAAUCUUUCGACCUAGAUCAUUUCUCGGAUUCGUUUACAUAAAAAAAUAAAAUGUUUUAACGGUAAGAAAGCAUCGAUAAAAAUGAUAACGGACUCGCGAACUGGAAUUUAAUAACGGAGCCGAUCUAAAUCAGUACGUUGAAUGGUCUUCGAUGUAAUACUAAACUCGUGAAUUCCAAUCAAAUAGUGUUAGUUGGAAUGAUUGAGGAAUAAAACUUUACUCGAUAUUAUUUGUUAAAUUCUUCGAUCGAUUCUUAAACGUAAUCCGAACAUACGAUUAACAGAUUACCUCUCUGUAAAGAAUCGAAGACACGCCCGAGUCGACCUAUCAACUCUAUUUGUCGUUUUAUUUUCACGUAGCCAAGAACGCACACGUGUCGUUUAGUGAUUGCUAUUAAAAUUGAAGCAAACCUUUAAGAAAGAGAGAGAGAAAGAGAGAGAGAGAGAGAGAGAGGGAGAGAGAAAGAGAGAGAAAGAGAUUCGGUCGCGAGACAAAAUACGCACGCUUACGCGCUAGUUCGUCGUACAAAACAGGAAGAACCACUUGUCAUAGAUUAGGCGUGCUCUCCUGUCCGUAGAGAACACACACGUGUGCCCUAUGGGACACACGUUCGCCUACACGUACUCCGUCGAAACAUUCGAUUUAACUAUCGUCUAACCUACUUUCGAGCAUGUUGUUGUUCUUCUUCAUCUUCUAAUCAAGUACACGCGGUACUUUCUCAUGGCUUGCAUACGGUACGAAUCAAAAAGAGCUGUGCGAUACAUGCAUAUUAAUAUCACGUACGAUCGAUAAAGGAGUUUAAUACGCGUACUACUCCUUCUGGUGAACGAGCAUGUUCUACGUACAUCAUUACGGGCUUGUAUCUCUUACGUGCGUACCUUCUCUAUAGAGUCUUAACUACCUACUAAAAUGAUUAUCGUAAGAAUUCUCACGGAAAUAAAAUCUUAUCGGUUCUUUAUACUAUAGUCUUUAUUUUUCGAAUGAUAAUAAGAAAUCUUGUAAACGUAAUCGAAGAGUCGAUCGAUCGAAAGUUAACGCGACGGAUGCUCGUUCUCGCAUACGUUCGACAAGCACUUGUUUUUGUAACGUUAAUUAGAGCUCCGUUUUACGCGUGCUCGCCCGAUGUAAUAGGGACACACAUAGAAACUCACACGCUCACGAAGGCAGACUCGCAAAGAGACAUGCUCGAGUAAAAGGCUGGCACGUAUCCUGCGCUCUAUCUCUACCUCCGUCGUGCUACGUUGCUACUUCAUGCGUGCGUCCGCAUUCCUAGCCUUCAAUUACGUACGGCCGUAGUUAUGUAUGUACCUUCGAUACGUGCGUGUACUCUUGUCUAUUAGAGAACGUCGGCCACGAGAUUAUUAUUCAACCAGAAGUACCGCGACAGCGUGCGCUCGCCCAGUCCGUUGCUGCUGCUGCUGCCGUAGCUGCGCCUUUGUUGCUUCUCUCCCUCUUCAUUUCUAUCUCUCUUCUCUUUGCCUCUCUUUCUCUCUGUGUUCUCAACUACGCGGCCUAAUGUCCCAUUCUAUGUGCCUGCCUUAAAAGAGAGAGAAAGAGAGAGAUCCCUGCCUCUUUAUCUGCUUUCCACGCUCCAAGACGCUGGAAAUCAAGUCUUCUCUAAGAAUCGAUUUCAAACCCUCUUCGAUGUUCUUCUCCGCUCCAUUUCUGCCGAUUUGCUGGUUCGUUCCUGAAUAACGAGAUCCUUCCGUAACGUCGUUAUCCUUGCGUUACGGCAAACUGUGGCAAAAUGAUCGGUUCGUUCCUUUUCUCUCGUUCAUUCGUCCAUUCGUUUAUUCAUCUUCGAAGGUUUCUCUCUCUUUCUCUCUCUCUCACUCUUUUUUCUCUCUCUUUUAGAUCGAAAGGAAGAAAGAAACUUCUAUCCAAGAUAUGUUACCGUAAGACCUUAAGAUACGACGUGGCAAAAGGAUUUUUUCACCGGAUCGAUCGACCGAUCGGCUUUUAAAUUAUACACGAGGAGAAUAUCGUCGAUACAUAGACGUGUACUCGAGCGAGACGCGACGUGCAGUAGCGAUCAAUGAAUUUGACCCGCGGCGGAAUAGAUUUAUCGUGACGUAACGAUCGUUUUACAUUGCCUCGUACGAUUAAUCGAUCGAAUAAAAUGCAUUUAGAAGCGCUGAAGCGCAACUCGAAAGCGGACGAGCUAUCCUCUAGUCCGAGUUGCAUCUGAUCUAUUCGCUUAACGAAAUUACGAUUUCCAUUAUAUAUACAUAUAUAUAUAUAUAUGCGUGCGUGCGUGCGUGUGUGUGUGUGUGUACACUAUUUCGAAUUAUCAUAGAUUUUUCUCAAUGGAAUCGUAAAGAGACGCGUAAGGUAUUCGUUCUGCCGCAUCUGCCAGCACCGGCUUCUUCGCCGACUUCGUUUCCACGCACGGAAACACAUAAUUGAAAGGCGAGGAGAGCCUCGUAAAUAACUGCGCUAAUUAUUUCUAGCCCCGCCAAUUUCCUGCCUCCUCCUUGCACUCCCUCGUUCUUCCCCCUUCCCCUUUCCUUCCUUUCUCCCUCCUUCUCCUCUUCCUCCUCCACCUCUUCUUCCUUCCCUUCCUACAGUUCUUCCUUUCUAUUUCUCUCUCUCUCUCUCUCUCUCUCUCUCUCUCUCUCUCUCUCUCUCUUAUUCUGAACACUGUUUCCUUCCAACCUGACUUUCCUCGUUUACCCAAGAAAUUUACGCCAGUAAGACGAACUCUACAUCAACGUAUUUAUUAUUUUUACUUAAGAAAAAAUAAAAAAAAAAUAAAAAUAAGAAAUAAAAGAAAGAGAGAGAGAGAGAGAGAAAGAGAAAAUUGGAGGAUUCUGACAAUAAAAUAUUUGUGACUUGUUGCCGAUUUCGGAGCGACUUUAUUUUCGAGGUUAAUGAAAGGACCUUGACUGAUUUCACGAGCGUACGCGCACGCACGAGUAUCGCAAAACUUCUCGAGGGGAGAACUCGCGAAAGAAAAGGGAAAAAAAAUAUAGAGGAAGACUGUGCGCAGAAAGAACAGUCACGCUUCCGCGGAUCAUCCUUCGAGCCAGGACGAAUCUUAUAUCUCAAAGUUUGAAGAAUUCAACUUUGGAAGAAUCGGGUCUUUUAAAAAUCAUAGAUUAAAAGAGAGAAAGAGAGAAAGAGAGAGAGAGAGAGAGAGAGAAAGGUUCGUAUCUCUUUCGGCAAGGAUUCUUAUCGUCGAGAGGGAACCGCUUCCAGAUUUUAACCAGCUCUACGGUGGAACCCGGGUACAUUUUCUCUUCAGCCAGUAUUUGGGCCAAGUGUUCUCCCUCGUCUGGGCUGUAAAUGAGGCCCUAUUCCACCGGCGCCGUCACUUGACUUACUUGGCUAAAAGGAAAGAGAAAAAGAAACGCCUAGUAGAGAAGAGCGCAUCGUGGAAAAUGAGAGAAAUUAUGGGUGGUACGCCUGCUCCUCCUCCAUCUCUAGCAGCAGCCACCAAAAAAAGCUCAGUCGAGAAAGAUUUCAAGUACGUCGAGCACGUCACUCGUACAAUGCCCUAGGAUUAGAAUUUUCUAACCGAGUAACUCGUUAUUUCGUUGGUAAAUGUAGCAGCUUUUUUCAUUCCUCGGUCAAUCCUUUAAACGUCGUCGAAAAGUGAGAUACCCCAAAGACCAAAACUUUGCUAUUUCGUCCGCAAACUCGUUCGCAUCUCGGUAAGUAAUUGUAUGAAUAGUUAAUUAAAAAUGUUAGCUUCGUUAGAUUAAGAUAAAGAUUCGGGGAAUGGUAGAGAGUGAUUUAAAAAAAAUUUCAUUUCGGAGAACGAGGUACCCUGCCAGUUUUAAGCCGACAAAAACUCUCUCAACCGUAUUUGGGACAAGUACUGUACCCGUCUGGCUUGAAAAUGAGGCCCUGUCUACUACUGCCGCCAUCACUUGACUUACUUGGAUAAAAGAGAAAAAAGGGACGGAAAUAGCAAAACGGAGGUAGGCGAAAUGGAAAAGAAGGGAAGUGGAAAGGAACGACGGCGAAUGAACUCGUCGCUUUGAUCGAGAAUACGAGGGAGUUGAAAGAAGAAGUUAACUGCGACUGUUCUCAAGAAAAUCGUCAUUGCAAAAAAUUAACGCAUCCAAUUUAUUCGUCCAACCGUGUUCGAGAGAACGAGAAUUUAGCGAAAGAGGGGAGAGAAAGAGAGAGAGAGAGAGAA